UACAGAGGUCCCAAGCGUUGUUCGGAUUCACUGGGCGUAAAGGGUGCGUAGGUGGCGGGGUAAGUCGGAUGUGAAAUCUCCGAGCUCAACUCGGAAAUGGCAUUGGAAACUACCUUGCUCGAGGGUUGGAGGGGGGACUGGAAUACUUGGUGUAGCAGUGAAAUGCGUAGAUAUCGUAAGGAAGACCAGUGGCGAAGGCGGGUCUCUGGACAGUUCCUGACGCUGAGGCACGAAGGUCAGGGGAGCAAACGGG
rnacentral:rRNA from 1 species